rnacentral:rRNA from 1 species
AACGAACGCUGGCGGCAGGCUUAACACAUGCAAGUCGAGCGGAAGUUGAAGAGCUUGCUCUUCAACUUUAGCGGCGGACGGGUGAGUAACACGUGGGCAACCUGCCCUGCAGAUCGGGAUAACUCCGGGAAACCGGUGCUAAUACCGAAUAGUUUUCGCCACCUCCUGGUGGCGUACGGAAAGACGGUUUCGGCUGUCACUGCAGGAUGGGCCCGCGGCGCAUUAGCUAGUUGGUGGGGUAACGGCCCACCAAGGCAACGAUGCGUAGCCGACCUGAGAGGGGGAUCGGCCACACUGGGACUGAGACACGGCCCAGACUCCUACGGGAGGCAGCAGUAGGGAAUCUUCCGCAAUGGACGAAAGUCUGACGGAGCAACGCCGCGUGAGUGACGAAGGUUUUCGGAUCGUAAAACUCUGUUGUGAGGGAAGAACAAGUACCACUUAACUACUGGUACCUUGACGGUACCUCACCAGAAAGCCACGGCUAACUACGUGCCAGCAGCCGCCGUAACAC